rnacentral:rRNA from 1 species
CCUACGGGAUGCAGCAGUGGGGAAUAUUGCACAAUGGGCGCAAGCCUGAUGCAGCCAUGCCGCGUGUAUGAAGAAGGCCUUCGGGUUGUAAAGUACUUUCAGCGAGGAGGAAGGCGUUAAGGUUAAUAACCUUAGCGAUUGACGGUACUCGCAGAAGAAGCACCGGCUAACUCCGUGCCAGCAGCCGCGGUAAUACGGAGGGUGCAAGCGUUAAUCGGAAUUACUGGGCGUAAAGCGCACGCAGGCGGUCUGUCAAGUCGGAUGUGAAAUCCACGGGCUCAACCUGGGAACUGCAUUCGAAACUGGCAGGCUAGAGUCUUGUAGAGGGGGGUAGAAUUCCAGGUGUAGCGGUGAAAUGCGUAGAGAUCUGGAGGAAUACCGGAGGCGAAGGCGGCCCCCUGGACAAAGACUGACGCUCAGGUGCGAAAGCGUGGGGAGCAAACAGGAUUAGAUACCCGGGUAGUC